CGUUCUGUAAGCCUGCGAAGGUGUGCUGUGAGGCAUGCUGGAGGUAUCAGAAGUGCGAAUGCUGACAUAAGUAACGAUAAAGCGGGUGAAAAGCCCGCUCGCCGGAAGACCAAGGGUUCCUGUCCAACGUUAAUCGGGGCAGGGUGAGUCGACCCCUAAGGCGAGGCCGAAAGGCGUAGUCGAUGGGAAACAGGUUAAUAUUCCUGUACUUGGUGUUACUGCGAAGGGGGGACGGAGAAGGCUAUGUUGGCCGGGCGACGGUUGUCCCGGUUUAAGCGUGUAGGCUGGUUUUCCAGGCAAAUCCGGAAAAUCAAGGCUGAGGCGUGAUGACGAGGCACUACGGUGCUGAAGCAACAAAUGCCCUGCUUCCAGGAAAAGCCUCUAAGCAUCAGGUAACAUCAAAUCGUACCCCAAACCGACACAGGUGGUCAGGUAGAGAAUACCAAGGCGCUUGAGAGAACUCGGGUGAAGGAACUAGGCAAAAUGGUGCCGUAACUUCGGGAGAAGGCACGCUGAUAUGUAGGUGAAGUCCCUCGCGGAUGGAGCUGAAAUCAGUCGAAGAUACCAGCUGGCUGCAACUGUUUAUUAAAAACACAGCACUGUGCAAACACGAAAGUGGACGUAUACGGUGUGACGCCUGCCCGGUGCCGGAAGGUUAAUUGAUGGGGUUAGCGCAAGCGAAGCUCU
rnacentral:rRNA from 1 species